ensembl:lncRNA CNN3-DT CNN3 divergent transcript
GGGCGCCUGGGGGCUUCCCAGCCACAGGCCAUUCACGUCAACCUCCAGGCAUCCUCCGCGGCGGGCCGGACCGGGCCGGCGGAGGGGAGCGGAAGCCCACCGGGGCUGGCCCGCCGCUGACCCGCCGCCUCCGUCUGCCUCCUCCCGGGCUCUGGGCCCAGCGCGCCCAGAUGCCGGGCAGGACCCCUCCGCCCGCUGCUGGAACACCAAUAGCAGCGUUGGAGCCUCUGGGCCGGAGGAACUGGGGCCUCCACCGACACCUGCUUCUUCCCUCACCUCGCAGCCUUCCACACCUGUUGAUCUGACCUCUGCCCCGCUGCCGCCCAGGAGUAACCUAAGGCUUUUGGCCUGAUUCGAGCUCACUCCGUCUAAACCUCUAAAUGCGGUGCGAAAAAAUCCUGGGGAAUGUGCCAUGCAAAGCCUGGGCAUUUCAAGUGCUUUUCUGGAUUCGCAUCAACUCCUCUUUACAGGCAUCUUUAUCCGGAAUUCAGCUCGUCCCAAACCCCACGUGGUGUAGCUCUGCUUGUGUUUUUGAAUCCCGGGGCCUCUUUGAAUCAGAAGCCCUUUGUAUAGAGAUAAGUAUCCUUUAGGCCAGAAUCAGCCUCCAUUUUUUUCGCAGUCCCAUUUCCUACCCGUAAUACUUUCUUCUGAUUUUAAAGCCAUUUGAUAGAGAAGGGACAGGGAACAGAACCUUCGCCCCCCGCCUGAGCAGCUGGUAGACUAGAUAUCUUCCAAACAUUAUCUCAUUUACUUCCCUGGAGUUACAAAUAGGUAGAUUUCAUGUCCGUUGAGGGGUGAGAAAGCUGAAACUUUGAGACUUAAGAAUCCUGGCCGAGGUCAGCCUCCUCCGAAGCUUCAUCUCUUGCCACCACUUUCUGGUGCACACCUAGGACAGAUUUCAAUCCCUGAGAUCCCAGGAUGAAACCUAUGUUUGCCAAAUACCAGCUACUGUGCCAGAAGAGAUCAUGGAACCAGGUGUGGAAAGCUGCUUGAGAAGAGGAGCCAAAACAUCAUAGUUGAACCGUCCUGGAAUAGAAACUCGCCCUGAAUUCUUUCUUGUGUGAAAUCCAAGAGCCCUCUCUUGGGGUUGGAUCGGGACCCUGUUCCUGUAACAAGUCCACAAUGCCAGAGAAUUAAAGAGAACCACAAAGCUGAACCUCAAAAAGUUAGCCUGGCGAGGGGAGGAUGAUGAGAUUUCCCCUGUUGUCACAUAAACAAGGAAGUAAAGGGGGCCCCUUGUGCUCUCAGAACUCCAAGCAUGAAACGAUAGCAAAGGGAAAAACAGCUAAGUGUUUCCUGGCUGAAUUUUAUUUUGCUUUCAGUUUCUGCCAUUUCAGUUCCUGUUAUCGUGCUUUGAGGUGCACUGAACUGCAGCAAACCCAGGGGAUCCAAGGCUACGUUGAAAAGCCUUUGACCACAGUGCAGGGAGCAGAAGACAUUAAUGACGUGAUGUCGACACAGCCCGCACUCAGGAUCCUCCAGGAAAAGAACACAGAGAUAACCCCGGAUCGAUGGUACUUUUUGAAAAUGCUUUAUUGCAAAAGAGUGGCUAGGGUUUUACAAGGGCUAUGAAGAAACAUAUUAAGGUUAAUAAAGCUUUUUAUUGAGUGUUUAC